rnacentral:rRNA from 1 species
CGGGACGGGUGAGUAACGCGUGAGCAACCUGCCUUCGAGAGGGGAAUAGCACCUGGAAACGGGUGGUAAUACCGCAUAAGCCGGGAAUACCGCAUGGUAUAACUGGAAAAAGGAGCAAUCCGCUUGAAGAUGGGCUCGCGCCCGAUUAGAUAGUUGGUGAGGUAACGGCUCACCAAGUCGACGAUCGGUAGCCGGACUGAGAGGUUGAACGGCCACAUUGGGACUGAGACACGGCCCAG